rnacentral:rRNA from 1 species
GGCCCUACGGGGUGCAGCAGGCGCGAAAACUUUACAAUGCUGGGAACAGCGAUAAGGGAACCUCGAGUGCCAGGUUACAAAUCUGGCUGUCGUGAUGCCUAAAAAGCAUUAUAUAGCAAGGGCCGGGCAAGACCGGUGCCAGCCGCCGCGGUAACACCGGCGGCUCGAGUGGUAACCGUUAUUAUUGGGUCUAAAGGGUCUGUAGCCGGCCGGAUAAGUCUCUUGGGAAAUCUGGCAGCUCAACUGUCAGGCUUUCAGGGGAUACUGUCUGGCUCGAGGCCGGGAGAGGUGAGAGGUACUUCAGGGGUAGGGGUGAAAUCUUGUAAUCCUUGAAGGACCACCAGUGGCGAAGGCGUCUCACCAGAACGGACCUGACGGCAAGGGACGAAAGCUAGGGGCACGAACCGGAUUAGAUACCCGGGUAGUCCUAGCCGUAAACGAUACUCGCUAGGUGUCGGCCACGGUGCGACCGUUGUCGGUGCCGUAGGGAAGCCGUGAAGCGAGCCACCUGGGAAGUACGGCCGCAAGGCUGAAACUUAAAGGAGUUGGCGGGGGAGCACCACAACGGGUGGAGCUUGCGGUUUAAUUGGAUUCAACGCCGGAAAUCUUA